rnacentral:rRNA from 1 species
UUAAAAAGCUCGUAGUUGGAUUUCUGUGGGGACGGAGCGGCCGGCCGCACAUCGCGGUUCGAGCUAGCGCUUUCCCUACAUCCUGCCGCGAACCGUGCUACCAUUAGUCUGGUGGCGCUGGGGAUCGGCUCGAUUACUUUGAGAAAAAUAGAGUGUUCAAAGCAGGCCACACGCCUUGAAUAAGUUAGCAUGGAAUAAUGACUAAGGACUUCGGUUCUAUUUUGUUGGUGAAGUAAUGAUUGAUAGGGACAGUUGGGGCGGUCAGUAUUCCAAAGCGAGAGGUGAAAUUCUUAGACCUUCGGAAGACUAACAGCUGCGAAAGCGUUCCGCAAGGAUGUUCCCUUUGAUCAAGAACGAAAGUUGGGGGAUCGAAGACGAUCAGAUACCGUCGUAGUCUCAACUAUAAACUAUACCAGCUAGGGAUCGGCCAACGUUAUUUUAUACCGACUUGGUCGGCACCUUAUGAGAAAUCAAAGCAUCUGGGUUCCGGGGGGAGUAUGGUCGCAAGGCUGAAACUUAAAGGAAUUGACGGAAGGGCACCACCAGCCGUGGAGCCUGUGGCUUAAUUUGACUCAACACGGGAAAACUUACCAGGUCCAGACAUAGUAAGGAUUGACAGAUUGAUAGCUCUUUUCUUG